UACGUAGGUGACAAGCGUUGUCCGGAUUUACUGGGCGUAAAGAGCGCGCAGGCGGUCGAUCAAGUCGAGUGUGAAAGCCCCCGGCUCAACUGGGGAGGGUCAUUCGAUACUGAUCGACUCGAAGGCAGGAGAGGGUAGUGGAAUUCCCGGUGUAGUGGUGAAAUGCGUAGAUAUCGGGAGGAACACCAGUGGCGAAGGCGACUACCUGGCCUGUUCUUGACGCUGAGGCGCGAAAGCUAGGGGAGCGAACAGG
rnacentral:rRNA from 1 species